rnacentral:rRNA from 1 species
AGAGUUUGAUCCUGGCUCAGGAUGAACGCUGGCGGCGUGCCUAAUACAUGCAAGUCGAGCGAACCACUUCGGUGGUGAGCGGCGAACGGGUGAGUAACACGUAGGUGAUCUGCCCAUCAGACGGGGACAACGAUUGGAAACGAUCGCUAAUACCGGAUAGGACGAAAGUUUAAAGGUGCUUCGGCACCACUGAUGGAUGAGCCUGCGGCGCAUUAGCUAGUUGGUAGGGUAAAGGCCUACCAAGGCGACGAUGCGUAGCCGACCUGAGAGGGUGAACGGCCACACUGGGACUGAGACACGGCCCAGACUCCUACGGGAGGCAGCAGUAGGGAAUCUUCGGCAAUGGGCGAAAGCCUGACCGAGCAACGCCGCGUGAAUGAUGAAGGCCUUCGGGUUGUAAAAUUCUGUUAUAAGGGAAGAAUGACUCUAGUAGGAAAUGGCUAGAGUGUGACGGUACCUUAUGAGAAAGCCACGGCUAACUACGUGCCAGCAGCCGCGGUAAUACGUAGGUGGCGAGCGUUAUCCGGAAUUAUUGGGCGUAAAGAGCGCGCAGGUGGUUGAUUAAGUCUGAUGUGAAAGCCCACGGCUUAACCGUGGAGGGUCAUUGGAAACUGGUCAACUUGAGUGCAGAAGAGGGAAGUGGAAUUCCAUGUGUAGCGGUGAAAUGCGUAGAGAUAUGGAGGAACACCAGUGGCGAAGGCGGCUUCCUGGUCUGUAACUGACACUGAGGCGCGAAAGCGUGGGGAGCAAACAGGAUUAGAUACCCUGGUAGUCCACGCCGUAAACGAUGAGUGCUAAGUGUUGGGGGUCGAACCUCAGUGCUGAAGUUAACGCAUUAAGCACUCCGCCUGGGGAGUACGGUCGCAAGACUGAAACUCAAAUGAAUUGACGG